AUUGAACGCUGGCGGAAUGCUUUACACAUGCAGUCGAACGGCAGCACGGACUUCGGUCUGGUGGCGAGUGGCGAACGGGUGAGUAAUGUAUCGGAACGUGCCCAGUCGUGGGGGAUAACGUAGUGAAAAUUACGCUAAUACCGCAUACGAACUAAGGAUGAAAGCGGGGGAUCGCAAGACCCCGCGCGAUUGGAGCGGCCGAUAUCAGAUUAGGUAGUUGGUGGGGUAAAGGCCCACCAAGCCAAAGAUCUGUAGCUGGUCUGAGAGGACGACCAGCCACACUGGAACUGAGACACGGUCCAGACUCCUACGGGAGGCAGCAGUGGGGAACUUUGGACAAUGGGCGAAAGCCUGAUCCAGCCAUGCCGCGUGCAGGAUGAAGGCCCUCGGGUUGUAAACUGCUUUUGUACAGAACGAAAAGGUUUCUACUAAUACUAGGAGCUCAUGACGGUACUGUAAGAAUAAGCACCGGCUAACUACGUGCCAGCAGCCGCCGUAA
rnacentral:rRNA from 1 species